rnacentral:rRNA from 1 species
AAGUCGAACGCAGUAGCAAUACUGAGUGGCAAACGGGUGAGUAUAAUGUGGGAAUCUGCCUUUUGGUUUGGAAUAACACGGGGAAACUUGUGCUAAUACCGAAUAAGCCCUUACGGGGAAAGUUUUAAUGCCGAAAGAUGAGCCCGCACUUGAUUAGCUAGUUGGUAAGGUAAAAGCUUACCAAGGCAACGAUCAAUAGCUGUUCUUAGAGGAAGACCAGCCACAUUGGGACUGUGACACGGCCCAGACUCCUACGGGAGGCAGCAGUGGGGAAUCUUGCACAAUGGGGGAAACCCUGAUGCAGCGAUGCCGCGUGAGUGAAGAAGGCCCUUGGGUUGUAAAACUCUUUCGUCGGGGAAGAAAAUGACUGUACCCGAAUAAGAAGGUCCGGCUAACUUCGUGCCAGCAGCCGCGGUAAUACGAAGGGACCUAGCGUAGCUCGGAAUUACUGGGCUUAAAGAGCUCGUAGGUGGUUAAAAAAGUUGAUGGUGAAAUCCCAAGGCUCAACCUUGGAACUGCCAUCAAAACUUUUUAGCUAGAGUGUGAUAGAGGUAAGUGGAAUUUCUAGUGUAGAGGUGAAAUUCGUAGAUAUUAGAAAGAACACCAAAUGCGAAGGCAACUUACUGGGUCACUACUGACACUGAGGAGCGAAAGCAUGGGUAGCGAAGAGGAUUAGAUACCCUCGUAGUCCAUGCCGUAAACGAUGAGUGCUAGACGUUGGAAAUAUAUUCUUCAGUGUCGCAGCGAAAGCAUUAAGCACUCCGCCUGGGGAGUACGACCGCAAGGUUAAAACUCAAAUGAAUUGACGGGGACCCGCACAAGCAGUGGAGCAUGUGGUUUAAUUCGAAGAUACGCGCAGAACCUUACCAACACUUGACAUGUUCGUCGCGAGACUAAGAGAUUAGUUUCUUCAGUUCGGCU